GUAGGUGGCAAGCGUUGUCCGGAAUUAUUGGGCGUAAAGCGCGCGCAGGCGGUUUCUUAAGUCUGAUGUGAAAGCCCACGGCUCAACCGUGGAGGGUCAUUGGAAACUGGGGAACUUGAGUGCAGAAGAGGAAAGUGGAAUUCCACGUGUAGCGGUGAAAUGCGCAGAGAUGUGGAGGAACACCAGUGGCGAAGGCGACUUUCUGGUCUGUAACUGACGCUGAGGCGCGAAAGCGUGGGGGAGCAAACAGGAUUAGAUACCCUGGUAGUCCACGCCGUAAACGAUGAGUGCUAAGUGUUAGAGGGUUUCCGCCCCCUUUAGUGCUGCAGCUAACGCAUUAAGCACUCCGCCUGGGAGUACGGUCGCAAGACUG
rnacentral:rRNA from 1 species